AAAAAAACUCAGUUUCCUCAUCCAUAAAAUAGGAAUUAGAUUUCAAUGUUCUCUUAGGUCCCUUCUAGCUUUAAUUCAUAUGUGAUUAUGCAGUAACCACAAGGUAUUUUUUAAACCUCCUAAUGUAUGGAUAUUAAGCAGAAGAGUAUUUAUAUGAAUACAUGUUUCACAUUCCUUUGGUAUGAAAAUGGUGUGUUAAGUUUUUCCUUUAACCACUGAGUUGUGAAUGUGAAGAAGGUGGUGGAGAGGAACAAAAAACAGAAAGGUAUUUUGAUCUUGCCACAAAGCAUACACACAAAUUGGCACAUGCAGCUGUUUGCCAAAGCCUUCUUUUUUUUUUUACUUUUUAAGAAAUUAUGUUAGGGAAAAUAAAUUCUGCUUCCAGGGACAACUUCAUGGAGCCUAUUUACAAAUUAAGAGUCAGCUUAAUUUGUAACAUUUCUACCAGAGCCAAGAAUCCCAAAUUCCUGGUAGAUUAGUGUUUUAUUUCUAAGGGGCUUAUGCAUUCGGCUCCAACUCAACUCGUCUAUGUGCUGCCAGUAAUUAAAAUGUUCCACCUCAGACUGCACAAAUGGCUUAUCCUUCUUUGUGGCAUGGCGUCUGUCUCAGGAAAAAAGGUUUUAUGAAAUUCCAUGGCAACAGUCCCAACAUGUUUGAGACUUCAGCUAAAGGAAUGGAUGUAUUUUGGUGUGUAGUCUUCAGUAUAUCACUGUAUUUCCGUAAUACUAGACUCCAAGCUAUGCCAGAUUGCUUAUUCCCUUUGUGAAAGAGGAGUUGCUCAUUACGUUCUUGAAAUAUCGCACAUCCUGUUGGUUCUUCAAGGGACAAGAGAAAGAGAAUUUGGAAGCAGGGAUUAGUAGAAGAGAAAACGAGGGAAAGGAAGCCUUUCCACCAGAUUAGUGUUCAAGUCUUUGCAGAGGAGACCAACUUUUUUUGUUUUCUUUUGUUUUGAGACAGUCUCUCGCUCUGUUGCCCAGGCUGGAGUGCAGUGGCGCGAUCUCGGCUCACGGCAACCUCCGCCUCCCGGGUUCAAGCAAUUCUCCUGCCUCAGCCUCCCAAGUAGCUGGGAUUACAGGUGCUCACCACCAAGCCCGGCUAAUUUUUGUAUUUUUAGUAGAGACAAGGUUUCACCAUGUUGGCCAGGCCAGUCUCAAACUCCUGACCUCAGGUGAUCUGCCCGCCUUGGCCUCCCACAGUGCUGGGAUUACAGGCAUGAGCUACCGCACCCAGCCUGAGACCACCUUUUGCAUCUCAAGAUUGUGAAACCAAGGCCCAUUCCACCAGCCUGGGGACUCUUUUUAUAGAUAUGAUCCUCCUUUUUCCUGUGACUAAUGAAUUUGCUGCAUGAUUUCUAUUCUUCUGAGGUUAGUUUUCUGAGUAAGGUGACCACUCACAAAGGCACUUUCUUUGUGGCAUUCUGAGCCUAGAUUGGGGCCCAUCAAUUCCAGAAAAAAUUUAUGUGUGGAAACUCUGCAUCCUUAAGUCUUGAAGUUGAACCAGAUAUGCAGUGGUUACCAUCACACAGAUAAACGCUGCCUUCUGUACAUACCCCUUAUGCUGUACUAAUUAACAAACCCCUUGCCAGGGCUGGGGAGGUGAGGGUGAAGGAGAAUCUUAGCAGAAGGGCAGAGUCAGGACUUGCAUCUGCCACUGCUGGGCACUGAAGCCCUGGAGCAGCUUCAGAUAGUACCUGUACUUUCUCAUGCAGACUCCCUCUGAACAAGAGCCUUGUAGGCCCCUCUCCUUCAUUUCCCACCAGCCUCUUAUCAGGCGGGCUUUCCACCAUACACCCAGGAGGCCACGGUCUGAGGAACAACCAAACCCAUGCAAAGGGCCGGGCGCGAUAGCUCACGCCUGUAAUGCCAGCACUUUGGGAGGCUGGGGCAGGCAGAUCACCUGAGGUUGGGAGUUCGAGACCUGCCUGACCAACAUGGAGAAACCCCCAUCUCUACUAAAAAUACAAAAUUAGCCGGGCGUGAUGGCACAUGCCUGUAAUCCCAGCUACUCAGGAGGCUGAGGCAGGAGAAUCGCUUGAACCCGGGAGGCGGAGGUUGCGGUGAGCCGAGAUGGCACCACUGCACUCCAGCCUCGGCAACAAGAGCGAAACUCUGUCUAAAACAAAAACAAACAAACAAACAAAAAAACCCAGGCAAAGUUUCCUUGCAGCCAAGGUGACAGAACUGGGCUGAGGGUGGAAAAGAAACAGAACCAGUGCUCCAGGUGUUUUUUAAUUUUUUAAUUUAUUUUUAUUUUUUUUGUAUAUGUAUAUAUAUGUAUGUAUAUUUUAGAGGACCAGGGUCUCACUAUGUUGCCUAGGCCAGACUCAAACUCCUGUGCUCAAGCAAUCCUGCCUCAGCCUCCCAAGUAGCUGGGAUUACAGGCAUGCACAAACAAUGCCCAGCUCUCCAAAUGUUUUCUGUCACUACCUGAAGUGUUGCAUCGGUACUUCCUACGGAAAGAAAACUAAAUAGAAGUGUCUCUCCCGUGAGCCCCCACCACUACCACCAGAAAAAAAAAAGAGAGAAAAUGAACUCAUCAGUCUUUAGUUUCCUCAAGUUAUUCUCCCAAAAAGACAUUCGCCUUGGCACAGAUAAGCCAGCUAAUCUUAUGCUUUAUGACCCACUGUGAGCUGUUCCUGACACAGCUUCUGACUUUGUCAGUGACAAAAUUUCUCACCUUUUAAAUGCAGUGCUUAACAUUUUGUUAGGCCCAUACUCAAAAUCGGCCAGAUAUAAAAUGACCUCAGAUUUUGAUCUCCUAGGCUCAAACAAUCCUCCUACCUCAGCCUCCCAAGUAGCUGGGACUAUAGGCACACCACCAUGCACAGCUAAUUUUUUUUGUAUUUUUCUGCAGAGAUGGCGUUUCGCCAUACUGCCCAGGCUAGUCUCAAAAUCCUGGGCUCAAGCAAUCUGCCCACCUCAGCCUCCCAAAGUGCUGGAACUACAGGCAAGAGCCACUGCGCCCAGCCACAACCUCAGAUUUCUUUGGCAAACAGAAAUGUUUAAAAACACAAAAUUUUGCUCAGGUGAAACACUGUGUUACUAUCAAAUCUCACAUCCACAUAAAGUUUUUCUUUUCGGCUUUGUUUCGUGAGGAACAGACAGAACAAAGUUUUUCCAGGUAGCAUCUGUAUCACUAUUAUUCUCCUAUUUCCUGUACCACCCCCACCUCCCCAAGCCCUACUGAAUGUGAGGUUUAGAAUGUUUUAAGGAGGGUCAGGUGCGGUGGCUCACGCCUGUAAUCCCAGCACUUUGGGAGGCCAAGGCGGGCGGAUCACCUGAGUUUGGGAGUUCGAGACCAGCCUGACCAACAUGGAGAAACCCUGUCUCUACUAAAAAUACAAAAUUAGCCAGGCGUGGUGGCACAUGCCUGUAAUCCCAGCUACUUAGGAGGCUGAGGCAGGAGAAUCGCUUGAACCCAGGAGGAGGAGGUUGUGGUGAGCCGAGAUCGUGCCAUUGCACUCCAGCCUGGGUGACAGAGUGAGACUCCAUCUCGAAAAAAAAAAUACAAAAAUUAGCUGGGUGUGGUGGUGCACACCUGUAAUCCCAGCUACUCGGGAGGCUGACGCAGGAGAAUUGCUUGAACCUGGGAGGUGGAGGUUGCAGUGAGCCGAGAUCGCGCCAUUGCAAUCCAGCCUGGACAACAGAGUGAGACUCCAUCUCAAAAAAAAAAAAAAAAAGAAUGUUUUAAGGAAAAAAAUAGUACUGUUACAUAUAAUCCCAGGUGAUAAGACCACAAUGGAAAUGUUUAAGUCCUCACUUUAAAGAGUACCCCACUGAGAAGAGGUAUGUUGGACUCUAGCAGAGAUUUGGAAACUCUGGGACACUCAAGAUGUGAAAGAGCCUGGCUAUCUGAGGACUCAAAGAGUCAGCAUCGGGACUUGUGAGCUCAAGAAGAGAAAAGGGAGUGGUGAAACUUUGUCCUAAAAGUUAGCACCAGGAACAGAAGAAAAAAACCCGAUAUAUAGUGAUACCUCAUCUUUUAGAGAAUGGGAAGCUAUUUUUGUGUUCACACAGAAAGUAUAGUUCAAAAAACCUCUAUAUCCAGAGUUCAGACAAGGAGAAUGAUUUGAGAUAUAAGUGCCGAUGAAGGAGGUCAAUUUUGAUCUGAAACCAGCAGCUGGACCUGGGCCACCUCAGGAAAAGGACUCUGUUCUCCAAGGCAGCACGACUGAAUGGUUCUGAGAAUAAGCCAGGGUUCAGGACUCCUGACCCUUUAGGACCAUGGACUCAGAAGAGCCUGAAGGACAAUUGUGGGCUUUAAACUUCUGAGAGCUUGUAAAGUAACACAAGACUGUGCCUCUCCCUUGCCCCAGCUGUAGAUAGUCUUUGCCCCACCAUUGUUAUGAAGAUACACAGGGUUUUGCAGUUUGAAUAAAUUGGAUACAAGUUUCCUCUUUUUUUUUUUCUUUUUGAGACAAAGUCUCGCUCUGUUUCCCCAGGCUGAGUGCAGUGGCACAAUCAAGGCUUACUUGCCGCCUCAACCUCCUGGGCUCAAGCAACGAGCCAUCCUCCCGUCUUAGCCUCCCAACUAGCUGAGACUACAGGCGUGGGUCACCACACCCAGCUAAUUUUUGUACUUUUUGUAGAGACAGGGUCUCACCAUGUUGCCCAGGCUGGUCCUGAACUCCUGGGCUCAAGUAAUCUGCCCACCUCAGCCUCCCAAAGUGUUGGGGUUACAGGCGUGAGGCACCGCGGCUGGCCUGAGUUUCUUCUUAAUACUGUAUCACAAUUGUGGGCUGUCUUAUGUGUUGAUAUCGAUUGAGCUAUUUGAAAUAGGAAUGUUAAUGGGUGUAUUAAAUUUUUGUAAGGAUAUAACAAUAUCUACCUUCCAAGGAUGUUGUGAGGUUUUCCAUGAUUUUGUAUAUGAGCUAAUGUUACCUUUGAGGGGUGGUGUGCAUUAUGUUGGAUGAUUGUAAAUUUUCAGUGGAAAAUGUACCGUGUCCUAAAUUUAAAGACAUGAAAAAUAUCCCAAGAUCAUACUAGAUCAUAAUAGCAAUUCCUUUACAAAUGAAUUAUGGAGGUAACUGAUCUCUAACAGUUUCCUUCAUGUUGUUUUAAUGCACAAGGGCAGAGGAUCUGCUGACCCUUGGAACCAGCGUGAGCUAACCACGUGCUAUAGACACUUCAUGGUGUCGCACCCAGGGAAGUCAAAGCGCUUUGCUCCCUCACUGUCUGUGAGUCCUCAGCCAUUAGUACCCCACCCCCCGCUGCUCCAAAACUUGAGUUAUUUCAAAUGUUUCUCACUGUUCAUCUCUCCACUGACCCCACUCCAGAAAGCCUGGAGAGAGUCCCAAGAUGCCACCCACCUUCCCCAAUCCCUCGCCACAGAUCUGUGUCUAUCUCACACUCUGUAAGUGCCGCUUUGCUUCUUCCUCUCUUGAAAAGACUGAGAACACACAUUUUAACAUGUUAGGAAAAUGGGGCAGCCUAAAAAAUGACUGAUCCCACCGCCAGUGACUCAUGUAUACUCCAGGCUAGCAGACAAGGCCCUUUUUGGUGGGCCUGCUUCUGUGGGUUCACAGAAACCAAAUUACUGUGGGUUGCAAAGAAUUAGCAGGUCAUUUACAAAGCAGACAUCCCUUCACCCAGACUGUGGUUUUGCAUGCUCAGGUUCUCAGUCUAUGAGCUUUGGUGCAGGAUCAUUUUGGCUACUGGAAAAACCAUAGCUUAUUUUAAAUUUCUGGUUGCCAAAGCCACCACACGUGUGGUCUGUGGAUGACCAUUGUCUGCAGAAUGACGAGGAAGGAACAGAAUGUGGUUUGGGGCUCAGGGUGGCCUUCCCACUGGGAGGGAAGGCGGGAGGGAGCCCUUGCCCUGGGUUUUGACACAGCCUGUGCUCACAGCCUCUCCUCUCAUCUGCAUUUCUCAGAAAUGCCCUCCCUGCCCAGUGGUGACUUUCCCUCGUCACUCCUAUGGAGUUCUACCUGGAGCCCAGCCAUGUGUGGAACUGUGAAGUUUACUCCUCUGUAAAGAUGGUUUAAAGAAAGUCAGCUUCUGAAAUGUAACAAUGCUAACCCUUGCUGGAACCCUGUAAGAAAUAGCCCUGCUGAUAGUUUUCUAGGUUUAUCAUGUUUGAUUUUUACACUGAAAAAUAAAAAAAUCCUGGUAUGUUUG
rnacentral:lncRNA from 1 species